UAAUAAGUGUUUUAUGGCACUUUUUAAAUCCAUAUCCAGCCUUGUGUGCAAUGUCAGUCGAUCUUCUUCAUGGAGAUCGACCAAACAUCAACCUUUAUCUUUUAACUCUUUGUCUGAAAAAUAUUAUGAAUAAACAAUUCAAAAUA
rnacentral:misc_RNA from 1 species